GUGAUCCNCUNUGCCGCGNGAGUGAAGANGGCCUUCGGGUUGUAAAGCUCUUUCAGUUGGGAAGAAACGAUUGCAACUAAUAAUUGUAAUUAAUGACGGUACCGACAGAAGAAGCACCGGCUAACUACGUGCCAGCAGCCGCGGUAAUACGUAGGGUGCGAGCGUUAAUCGGAAUUACUGGGCGUAAAGGGUGCGCAGGCGGUUUUGUAAGUCAGAUGUGAAAUCCCCGGGCUUAACCUGGGAAUGGCGUUUGAAACUACAAGGCUAGA
rnacentral:rRNA from 1 species